rnacentral:rRNA from 1 species
UACGAAGGGGGCUAGCGUUGCUCGGAAUCACUGGGCGUAAAGCGCACGUAGGCGGACUCUUAAGUCGGUGGUGAAAUCCUGGAGCUCAACUCCAGAACUGCCUUUGAUACUGGGGGAUCUCGAGUCCGGAAGAGGUGAGUGGAACUCCGAGUGUAGAGGUGAAAUUCGUAGAUAUUCGGAAGAACACCAGUGGCGAAGGCGGCUCACUGGUCCGGUACUGACGCUGAGGUGCGAAAGCGUGGGGAGCAAACAGG